GACGUAGCUCAGUGGCAGACCAUCUGCCUUGUAUGCAGAAGGUCCCAGAUUCAGUCUCCGACGGCAUCU